ACGUUGGCGGCGGACGGGUGAGUAACACGUGGGUAACCUACCUAUAAGACUGGGAUAACUUCGGGAAACCGGAGCUAAUACCGGAUAAUAUUUCGAACCGCAUGGUUCGAUAGUGAAAGAUGGUUUUGCUAUCACUUAUAGAUGGACCCGCGCCGUAUUAGCUAGUUGGUAAGGUAACGGCUUACCAAGGCGACGAUACGUAGCCGACCUGAGAGGGUGAUGGCCACACUGGAACUGAGACACGGUCCAGACUCCUACGGGAGGCAGCAGUG
rnacentral:rRNA from 1 species